GGAUGUGAGGGCGAUCUGGCUGCGACAUCUGUCACCCCAUUGAUCGCCAGGGUUGAUUCGGCUGAUCUGGCUGGCUAGGUGGGUGUCCCCUUCCUCCCUCACUGCUCCAUGUGCGUCCCUUCCGAAGCUGCGCGCUCGGUCGAAGAGGACGACCAUCCCCGAUAGAGGAGGACCGUUCUUCGGUCAAGGGUAUACGAGUAGCUGCGCUCCCCUGCUAGAACCUCCAAACAAACUCUCAAGAAGCUGGACACCUCAGAACAAGGGGGGCAGAUGUGCAGCCCCUGU
rnacentral:snRNA from 1 species